AGCUUUAAGGGUAAUUUGAAAUUACCAAAAGGAAUCUUUCCACGGCUA
rnacentral:tRNA from 1 species